CAUGGGCCAAAUUGACCACAGAAUUGAUUAAGCACCAGGUAAUUAACCUAUUAACAAGUGAUUCAGCAGGAGGGAAGAGCUGGGAGAAAAGGCUGGAGAAACCUGGGAUCUCACAGAGGGGAAAUCUCCCAAGCAUCUGGGGAAAAGAUGGAAUCACAUAUCUGAGUUUGAAAAUACCUGAAUCUCACUUAUCUAUUCUACAGAGAACUAGGGUUGGAAGUCAUGAAGGCGCCCCCAUCAAGAGCAGAAUGUACUUGUGAAACUGUGACAGGUGUGCUUGGGUGAAAGCUGUUCCUGAUUACUUCAAUCAGAUGUGCAAGGCAAUAUAUACAAAAGUCAGUGAUAUUAAGCAACUGUCAGGCAGAAAAAAUCUAUUACAUUGAUGAUGCAGAUGUCUCUUCAGCCAAAAAUAGAAAAGAAAUGAAGAUGAAACAGCUGUUCCAAGAAACAUCAGUGGAAUCCACAUAAAAUGUUUUGCUUUUUGGACUCAGCCAACACAAGAGGGAGUUAGCCCUGCCAAUCUACAGAAGUCUUGUUGAGGAUACUAUGUACUUUAUAGAAAUAGUAUCUUUGCCAUUAACUUUUAGAAAAAUUAAAGUGGUAUAUUGUGAGAUGCAAGGGAAUUUGAACCUUUUGUUCCAAGAACUCCACAGGGGGGAAAUGUUUUUUCUCCAAAGCAAAACUAAUGCAUCUUCUUGAGCAUUUGCUCUUUUAAUGUAUUUGUCAGUAAACAUGAGAGGAAAAACUACCCUAAGCUCCAGUGAAGGUCCCAGUUGUUGAGCCCUGGAGGAGUUGAAUACUCUUGACCCCCAGUGGUGUCAACAGAAGCUUGAAUGUACUCAGUGUGAAAGGCCUCAAAACAUCUAGCUUUCUAACCCCAACUGUAAGCCAAGAGCAGAUCCCUUCCUUCCACUAGAAAAAAUAAAAUAUUACCUCCUAAUACCCUCCCCCAACCCCCAAGAAACACAAAACAAAACACCAAGAAAAGUGUAAAUCUUUGGGUUGAAAUUAUUCUUCAUGUGAGCUAGA